GCGGCGGCGGCGCGGCUCGCUCGGAAGCCGAGGCGCCGCCAUGACGGAGCGGCCCUGGCCGGAGCGGAGCCCGCGCGCGACUCCAUCCCAGGACCCUGGAGGGUGCUGAGGGGCUGCGGUUCUUCGCCCUGGAGAAUCUGCCCGGGGCGCACUUCCCCGCCGCCGGAGAGAAGGGGGUGACGGAGGUUGUAAACGCCCAGUCAGGCUGCGGCGGCGCCAAGAAGCAGGCUCGAAGACGGCUGGCAGGGCACGGCCCUCGUGAGUCGCCCUCCCUGCGUUUGUACACCUCUCCUUCCUGAUUGUAAAACCCACACACGUGCUCAUGAAGAGUGCUCCAGAGGAUCAAGAAGGAAAAAGUCACAUGGAAUACUCCUCCACUUUUCACUUGUCAUAAGCAUUUCCCAUGUCAUUAAAAAUCCUUCCUAACUGUU